GACGAACGCUGGCGGCGUGCUUAACACAUGCAAGUCGAACGAAGAGCGACGGAAGCUUGCUUCUAUCAAUCUUAGUGGCGAACGGGUGAGUAACGCGUAAUCAACCUGCCCUUCAGAGGGGGACAACAGUUGGAAACGACUGCUAAUACCGCAUACGAUCUAAUCUCGGCAUCGAGGAUGGAUGAAAGGUGGCCUCUACAUGUAAGCUAUCACUGAAGGAGGGGAUUGCGUCUGAUUAGCUAGUUGGAGGGGUAACGGCCCACCAAGGCGAUGAUCAGUAGCCGGUCUGAGAGGAAGAACGGCCACAUUGGGACUGGGACACGGCCCAGACUCCUACGGGAGGCAGCAGUGGGGAAUCUUCCGAAAUGGACGAAAGUCUGACGGAGCAACGCCGCGUGAGUGAUGACGGCCUUCGGGUUGUAAAGCUCUGUUAAUCGGGACGAAAGGCCUUCUUGCGAAUAGGGAGAAGGAUUGACGGUACCGGAAGAGAAAGCCACGGCUAACUACGUG
rnacentral:rRNA from 1 species